rnacentral:sRNA from 1 species
CCAAGUUGCUUUGGUCACGGUGUUUCCUCACAGCGGCGGUCACCCUGACUGGGAUGGCAUCGAAGCUCCCAGAGGACCCCUGUGGCUCAUCCUUAUGAGUCAGGACCUAUCUGGUCUGGCUGGUGCCAGUUCUGAGCACUAUCAGAGAGGCCUCUGCAAGCCUGAGACAUAUGCAUUCAAAGAGCUGACAUGUUACGUGGGAGUAUUAAAGGACAGCCACAUCGUGGGCACUCCGAAAGCCUUGGCAGGGUGUGAGUAAGCACAUCGCACUGGGUAAAAAUAACUAAACCCGAGUGGCAGCUGUGCGGCUCAACACCAAGAGCUCCAUUGUUCUGGGUAGUCAGUCAGGACAUAAAGGCCAAUCCCCGCUGCGGCUGCUCUGUCUUUGCAAGAAUAAACCAAUCCUGGGGCGGCUCCAACACUCCCUUGGGGCCCAGAGUGGAAAGCCAUUGGUCUGCUUCAGAGUUUAGGAGCCACAGUCCCGGAGCUCCGGUUUGCCUCUGUGGCACCUGGUUGCCACAGUCUUACUGCCUGAGCUGUCUCCUCUUCAGAAGACCUGUGACAAUCUCUUCACACUGAUUUGGAAGCUGUUCGGGGUGGAGAGAGACCUCCUUUCACCUAAAGGGGCUCACCAUCCUGGGACGCCAUCACCAGGGUGAUUCUGAAGAUUUUGUGCAUUCUGCAAAGCCACCUGUAUGUCUUAACAGCUGCCAUAGGCAGGGGGCAGUGGCUGGGGGUGGGGGUGGGGUGGGGCAGGCUGUGAGCCGCUGCUGGGAUUGAGGGAAUUUGAGCAUAGUUGCUUGGAUAUGCGUGGUCCCAGAUUUCCAGCCUCUGAGGUAAGUAAGACGUGCCAUCCUGGGAGUGGGUUGGCUUUGACUGUGGGUGGCAAGUUUUCCCUCUCUCAGAGCAUCUUGUAACUGGUGGCCAUUAAGUUCUACAUCUUGGGGUUGACCUAGAUACCAGUUUCUAUCUGGAUUAUCUGGGGUCUCUCUCACAGGCACAUGCUGCAUGCCUAUGAACUAAGCCCUUACACCCCAAAUUCCUCCCCCUGUUAACUGUGCCCCUUAGGCACACAGGAGCUUUCUUGGCCUCCACCCACUACAGCCACAGGGCCCUACUGCUUUAAGAUUCAUCAGACAGUUGCUGGCCCCAGGAAACAUUCCCUGCCCCUCUUCCAGGCUUGUCUGCCUGACAUGCACACAGUCAAACAGUGUCCGUGUGCUCUCGAUGGCCACCGGUCAUGUGACCACACUCCUGCCAAUCACAUCUAGCCUCUACUCUCCUCGGAUGUUCUUCGUACAGAGGACAGCAGCAUCUCUGACCCACCCUAGGCUGGGCACAGCCACGCCCUUCCUAUGUUGUCCUGCUUGCCAACAUCUUCUGUGGGUCUGGUUUCAUGUGCCCAUAGGAUCUCAAGCAGAGCUCGGGACCCAGAGCAAGCUGAAUUCACGCAUCUGCAACUACCAAGCCCAUACGCUCCAGCGUGGCCUGGAGCGGUCUACGCACACUUCACUCUACAGUCUCUAUGAAGAGAAAUUUGACAAGUAUCAUUACCAAACUUCAACAAGGCCUGGGGUGCGGAUAGACUCACCUGGCUCAGGUCCUGUGAGGAGACUCAAGGAGCCUGUGUACCUCUUGGAGCUUUGUGGUCACUCAGUGUGUGAGCCGAUCAGGCUAUUCCAACUGUCUUAAUAACUUCCUCAGGUGAGUCAAUAGCGUGACUGAAAUAACCAAGCUGACGACAUCCAGUCGAUAUUCUGACCGACUGACUAAAGGCCAGGGGGCCCAACCAUUCGGGACACUGAGUAUGUCCCCAAGUCCUCUCUGAGGGCUCCUGAGCCUAUGGUCUAGAGGGAGAAAUAAGAAACUCGCCUGGCAUUAACUGUUCAUCUUCUCCUGUCACAGGGGGGACGGCCUAGUGUCUCUACAUGCCCCAUGCCAUGGUGCCAUGCUGCCUUCCACUAGUAGUGCCAAUGUCUCGGUGGUGGUGUGUAAGCAGGGCGUUCUUUAGGGAGACUUGCUAAGUGUCCUUAGAUCAAGAGUGUUAGUGUGUCUAAGCCCAGCCUGGCUGGUUGGGCUGAAGCCAUGCUAUGCAACACGUUUCAGUUCCCAACCAGUUAGAAGCUAGCGUUAUCGCCAAGGUACCGCCCAACAGCUCACCACCUGCCCGUCACCAGGGACCAACACUUGAGGCCACUUGGGGCCUUUCAGACAUGAAAAGGGGUUUUAUCUAACAGCCCCAGAUGGAGUUUUGGAACGCUCCCCAAAGCUCUCACCGUCAUCUCCGAUGUUUUCAGUUAGGGCAGCGCAGAUGCUUUCCUAAGAUUUAUGGGCCAGCAUUAACAGAUUAGAGCAGAGACUUAAGUUCUUUUCUGGUGAGCUAGCCACACCUGGCCCUGUCACACCAAGGCCCUACACCGAGGAGUGACACCGAGGAGUGAGGAGUUCACUGGGAUUUCCCAGCUCACUCCAGUGAGUCAAAACUGUGCAUAACAGUCAUUAUAAUAAAAAUUUCCUCGUUCAUGUGGAUCUUUGGUUAUCAUCCCUCGGGCCAUCCACUGUCUGUGAGUGAGCUUCUGUCCUCUUCCAGAAAGCCUCUCUCAGAUCUGCAGGCCCAGCCUUUCGUGUUCUCCCAACUCCUGGUAGGCUCCAGAUGGAGUAAACCUGGGGAAAUGGAAUUCUAACACUCUCACCUUGAGAUCUUUGCCUUAGCUCAUCUGCCUGAGGCACUCUGUCCUCAGACCAGCUGGUGCCAGGCCCAGGGGACAGACUCAUUGUUCUCUCUCCAGGGCAGCCUCAAGCUCCUAGCCCAGGGCUGCUCCCCACCACACCACCGGGGUAGCCAGUUACCAUGUGACCCCUUAGAGUUCCCAGUGCAAUUUCAAGAGCCAUUCUGCUUCUGCCCAUGGACCUCUACUGCACCAAAAUGUGAGCAGGAAGUGUGUCUGUUUUCUUUUCCAGUUCACUCCGGUUGCCCAGAGUUCUGAGCAUGAGCAUCGGACCUUCUCGGAAGCCUGUGGAUGCAGUAGGAGCCCCCGUGGAUGCCUAUGGGCAACUGUAGGCAGCAUGCAGACCUCCUACCCCUCUGCCCUCCUGGCUCUAGCCUCAGCUUUAUAAAUCUGUUUCCUACCCCAGCAGGGCAGCUUCUCUGUCCUCCUGCGUGUUUCUGCCCCCCCCCACGCUCCUUCCAAGGAGCCUUUCCUAGCUGUGAGUUGAUGCCACAACCCCGUGGAAGCCUCUCUGUGCUCCGUGUGGGUUCUGACACCCAAGCCAUCUCAUGUGGUCCCCUCCCACACUGCCUCGGUUCUUCUGAGCUGAUGCCAGAACACUCCAGAGUCUUUGCUGCACGACCACACCUCACACUGGAGCCCCAGGAUGGCUUGUGGGGCCUUAUGCUGCCUUCGUCAGGGCACUCUGCCCAGCUGCAGUGUGUAGACACGACUGAGCCCAUUUUCCAUGUCCCUCAGGUACUUGGAUGAGCUAUAGAGCCCGACCCAGGAUGGAACAGAAUCUUCCCUUCCGUGGCCAACACAAACAGGGGGCCCAUAAACCUUCCUAAUUUAGGCAGGCAGGCAGGCAGGCAGGCAAGGUCAGGACGGGAGACUAAACAAUCAUCUCAGGACACACCCAGGCUGCUCAGUCCUCAGGAAUGCCUACGACAUCGACAUCGGGACUUCUACAGAGAACAGCAGACCUCUUUGAGCACAGGCAGCCUUGGGUCAAUCCAGUUCCUCAUCAGCUAUGGACAGCAGGGCCUUGCUGGACUGCUCCAUGGUCGGGGGUGUGGCAGCGAUGCUGGGUACCUGCUCUGCUCUGAGCAUUCUCUGGCAGAGAGCACUCCUCUGCCUCAGUUUCCUUGUAGGAGAAGUGGAGGUCUCAAACUCCAAUGGGCAAACCAGUAGGCAGCCUUCCCCCAUGACUCCUCCCUUGAGUUUCUGCCCCGGCUUCCCCCUGAGCAGUAGGUGUAAGCAGAAAUAAACCCCUCUCUCCCCAAA